GAUGAACGCUGACAGAACGCUUAACACAUGCAAGUCAACUUGAACUUCGGUUUGGGUGGCGGACGGGUGAGUAACGCGUAAAGAACUUGCCUCACAGUUAGGGACAACAUUUGGAAACGAAUGCUAAUACCUGAUAUUAUGAUUUUAGGGCAUCCUAGGAUUAUGAAAGCUAUAUGCACUGUGAGAGAGCUUUGCGUCCCAUUAGCUAGUUGGAGAGGUAACGGCUCACCAAGACGAUGAUGUUUAGCCGGGCCGAGAGGCUGUACGGCCACACUGGGACUGAGAUACGGCCCAGACUCCUACGGGAGGCAGCAGUAAGGAAUUUUCCACAAUGAGCGAAAGCUUGAUGGAGCGACACAGCGUGCAGGAUGAAGUUCUUCGGAAUGUAAACUGCUGUUAUAAGGGAAGAAAAAAUAGAAUAGGAAAUGAUUUUAUCUUGACGGUACCUUAUUAGAAAGCGACGGCAAACUAUGUGCCAGCAGCUGCGGUAAUACAUAGGUCGCAAGCGUUAUCCGGAAUUAUUGGGCGUAAAGCGUCCGUAGGUUUUUUGCUAAGUCUGGAGUUAAAUGCUGAAGCUCAACUUCAGUCCGCUUUGGAUACUGGCAAAAUAGAAUUAUAAAGAGGUUAGCGGAAUUCCUAGUGAAGCGGUGGAAUGCGUAGAUAUUAGGAAGAACACCAAUAGGCGAAGGCAGCUAACUGGUUAUAUAUUGACACUAAAGGGACGAAAGCGUGGGGAGCAAACAGG
rnacentral:rRNA from 1 species